CUCGUCGGCCCCCACUGUCAACAGCCGCUCCCAACCUCUCUCAAGUUUGUCUCUACUCAAACUCAAUAGCUCUCAACAUCUCUCAAGUCUGUCUUGGUUGAUUUGAAGGGAUUGUUGCUGCAGUGAAUUAACUGUUUGGAGAUUUCAGUUUUGAGCUUGGAGCAUUUGGUUUUGUAGGCCUAAAAUGUGGAAGAUUGGAUUUUUAUGACACAAAAAGAACUUGCGGUUUUAAACCGCUAAUUCACGGUAA